GACUCACCCGCCGCGGGGACUGGGGGAGAGGGGGAGCAGGGCUGGGACUCCCCUUUCCCACCCUGGAGUUUGGGGGCUCUGGCACUGGGGCUGAGAGGGCAGCUUCGAGUCCAAAUUCUCGCUCAAACCCACCUAAACCAAAGCGGCCCGGGGGACGUCGGGAGGCAUGAAGGAGAGUCACAAGGAGACCCCUGAAAGGGUUUCGCUUUCUCUCCCCUGCUGAUGGCUGGGCUGGGGACAGGUCUGGGAGCCUUGCUGCCGCCCUUGCUCCGGCAUUCUGCGCUUGUGUCUUCCCUGCUCCUCUGGGGGUAAUUACAGCCCUGCGCAGCUGCCUUACCCAGGUCUCUAAUCUGCUGGGUCCCUCCCGGCUCCAAACUGGGUGGUCCUAGCCCUGGACCUCCCCCACCCCCACCAGACGACCCCGCCAAUCACCCCAGAAGGAUUUUCUCCCAGUGGUCUGUCGAUGAGGGGGUGGUGACCCCCUCCAGAAUCCACUCCCCAAAGUAGCCCUGCUUCCCAGCCCUCCAGAAUGGACUCCCAGCCCCCUUGUUGGUGCCAGCUGAGGUGAGGGCUUCAAGCCAAGCCAGGCCCAGCCCGGGGCAGAGUGGGGAGCUUGCUGGGAAGGUGGAUGGAUGAUGGUGGUGCUGCUGCAGGGACUUGGGUUGCGGGGGAGGAGGAGGGGCAGCUGUGCCCUGCCCACCCUGGCCCUGCCCUUUGUCCUGACUUCUAGAAGGUCAGUUCUCUAGUUCUUCAUUGUCCAGAGAUUAGGCCCAGUGAGAUACUGUCCCCCUUGCCCCCCUUCCCUCCAGUUUCUCCUUCCUUUAAGCAGCUCCAGAAAGCGGCCAUUUGGAGGGAUAGAGUGGGAAACAAAAGGGUCAGGGGCUCAGGCAACCUGGGAGCAGCCUGUCCUGGGAUGUGUGCGUAUCUGGGGGCUUGGACACUCUUGGGAAGGCCUGGGAAGGGAAUAGUGUCCCCUCUGGCCCAAAAACAUUAGAAAAGGAUGAUGAUAGAAGGGCGGCAACUGGAGCCAGUAACCUUGAGCUAGUGACUUAACUUUUCUAAAAUCUAAUUUGCUCUCCUACAAAAUCAGAAAAAUAGUAGUGCCAUGAGGUAUCUUGGGGUCUUUGUAAAGAUUAAAUAAGGCAAUGGAAAUGAAGUGCUGAGCACAGAACCUGGCAUCUAGGAAGUGCUCAGUAAACAAGUAUAAUGGUGAUGAAGGCAUUGAUGAGUAAAAGUGGAAGGACGAGGAGCAGAUCCCCCAUCUUUGUGUCAGUCAUCUUAUCUGCAGGGUGGGGGGACUGCGGGGAUGACGGAGUUCAUGACAGUCCUUUGUGAGGUCAGGGGCCUCACAGCCUGCCUCUUCCAGAGCUGGACAGGCCAGACCUGACUCAGGCAGUGACCAGACUCAGGAGAAUUCAGGAACACGUAUGGGGAGAGAGCCCUCUGGAAUGGUUCUUCUCCCACCUCCCACCCCUUGUCUUGAGAUUACUGCAGGGAUGGAGAUGGAUGGAUGGAUGGAUGGGAGUCGCGAGAUACCCACAUUGGCUACGGCUCAAGACUAGUGGCUGGCUGUGGUGGCUCACACUGUAAUCCCAGCAAUUUGGGAGGCCAAGGUGGGAGGAUCCUUGAAGUCAGGAGUUCGAGAUCAGCCUGGCCAACAUGGUGAAACCCUGUCUCUGCCAAAAAUACAAAAGUUAGCCAGGUGUGGUGGUGGGUGCCUGUAAUCCCAGCUACUCCAGAGGCUGAGGCAGGAGAAUCGUUUGAACCCCAGAGGCGGAGGUUGCAGUGAGCCAAGAUCAUGCCACUGCACUUCAGCCUGAGCAACAGAAUGAGACCCUGCCACAACAAAACAAACAAACAGCCAAACAAACAAAAGGAAUAGUGGAGGUGGAAAUGGCAGCUAAAAAUGAACAGAUAGGCCAGGGACAGCCCACGUAGGAGGACUUGAAUGCCAAAUGCUUGGAAACAAGCAUGGGGAGCUGUUGAAGAUUAUGGGGUUUUUCAGUAGAGGAAGGGUGAGCAGACUUUAGAACUGGAAAUCUAUUGUCUUUGGGAUUGACUGUGGGGAGCUCACUAAAAAGAGCCCCUGGUAUUAGCCUACAUCAGGGGGUUCUCAACCAAGGGCAAUUUUGCCCCCCAGGAGACAUUUAGCCAUGUUUAGAGACAUACGGCGGUGGGCGGGGGGUGUGUCUCUAAACAUGGCAGCUACCGCGUAGAAGCCAGGGAUGCUGUUUACCAUCCUACAUUGCGUAGGACCAUCCUCACAAUAAGGAAUUCUCAGGUGCAAAAUGUCAGUAGUGCUAAGGUUGAGGAACCCUUCCCUAGCUUGAGGGUGAGGCACUCACAAGAUGUUGGUGCUGGAGACCAGCAGAGCAUCUGGGAGUUAGGCAGCUUAAACGACAGUUCUCCUGGCCAGACCUGAAGGUUUCCUGUGCUGCUGAUGAGUCCACAGGGAGUGUGCGGAGGAUGGCUGAGGAGGGGCCUGGAGAGCACCCGUGUUCCGUGAUUGAGGCAGUUGGUGGACAGAGGAAGUGGACUCCUCUCCAUUCUCCUCCUCACUGGCCAGGAUCCCUGGCAGAUUCCAGGCCCCAGCAACCAAGAGGGUUAAGAGUGUCUCUCUCUGAGUUUGGGGCUAGGUAACGCUGCAUGGGGCACCACAAAUAGACAUCCCAGAGAAGGAGCAAGUAGGGUACUUGCUGAAACCCUAACAUAAGAGGCUGAAGUCCCAACAGCAUUCCCUGCAGUCUUUGGCGAGCGACAGGGACCUCUGGACCAGGGCAGUAGGAGAUCGUGGCCCAGGGCAGUCUCCUCCUUCUGCACGGAAACAGGCAUGAGUGAGCUGUUCCUUUCACCGCAAGGUUGGGCUGGGGCUGGGGGAAGCCCACAGAAUGGGGAUCAGAAAUAUGUUCCUAUCCUGGCCAGGCACAGUGGCUCACGCCUAAUCCCAGCACUUUGGGAGGCCAGUGCAGGUAGAUCACUUGAGCUCAGGAGUUCGAGACCAGCCUGGGCAACAUGGCGAAACCCUGUCUCCACCAAAAAUACAAAAAAUUAGCCAGGCAUCGUGGUGCGUGCCUGUAGUCUGAACUACUCAGGAGGCUGAGGUGGGAGGAUCACUUGAGCCCGGAAGGUCAAGGCUGCAGUGAGCCAUGUUUGUGCCACUGCACUCCAGCCUGGACGACAGAGACCCUGUCUAAAAAAAGAGAGAAAAGAUAGUAAAAAAAAUCUUUAAAAAAAGAGUAUACUAAAGAAAUUUUUGGCCAGGCGGGGGUGGCUCACACCUGUAAUCCCAGCACUCUGGGAGGCCGAGGUGGGCAGAUGACCUGAGGUCAGGAGUUCACGACCAACCUGGCCAACAUGUCGAAACCCAGUCUCUACUAAAAAUACAAAAACAUUAGCCAGGCAUGGUGGCACAUGCCUGUAGUCCCAGCUACUCAGGAGGCUGAGGCAGGAGAAUCACUUGAACCUGGGAGGCGGAGGUUGCAGUGAGCCAAGAUCACACCACUGCACUCCAGCCUGGGCGACGGAGCAAGACUCUC
rnacentral:lncRNA from 1 species